UCAUUAAAUCAGUUAUGGUUCCUUAGAUCGUACCCACAAUUACUUGGAUAACUGUGGUAAUUCUAGAGCUAAUACAUGCAAACAGAGCUCCGACCGGAGACGGAAGGAGUGCUUUUAUUAGAUCAAAACCAAUCGGUGGCGGGUUCGCCCGUUAUCGUACAACUUGGUGACUCUGAAUAACUUUACGCUGAUCGCACGGUCAUCGCACCGGCGACGCAUCUUUCAAAUGUCUGCCUUAUCAACUGUCGAUGGUAGGUUCUGCGCCUACCAUGGUUGUAACGGGUAACGGGGAAUCAGGGUUCGAUUCCGGAGAGGGAGCCUGAGAAACGGCUACCACAUCCAAGGAAGGCAGCAGGCGCGCAAAUUACCCACUCCCGGCACGGGGAGGUAGUGACGAAAAAUAACGAUACGGGACUCAUCCGAGGCCCCGUAAUCGGAAUGAGUACACUCUAAACCCUUUAACGAGGAUCAAUUGGAGGGCAAGUCUGGUGCC
rnacentral:rRNA from 1 species